AGCAGCCGCGGUAAUUCCAGCUCCAAUAGCGUAUAUUAAAGUUGUUGCAGUUAAAAAGCUCGUAGUUGAAUUUCGGGGUUAGUAGGUUGGUCAUGUCUCUGGUAUGUACUGGUCUCACUGAUUCCUCCUUCCUGAUGAGCCGUAAUGCCAUUAAUUUGGUGUUGCGGGGAAUUUGGACUGUUACUUUGAAAAAAUUAGAGUGUUUAAAGCAAGCUAACGCUUGAAUACAUUAGCAUGGAAUAAUGAAAUAGGACGUUCGAUCCUAUUUUGUUGGUUUCUAGGAUUGACGUAAUGAUUAAUAGGGAUAGUUGGGGGCAUUAGUAUUCAAUUGUCAGAGGUGAAAUUCUUGGAUUUAUUGAAGACUAACUACUGCGAAAGCAUUUGCCAAGGAUGUUUUCAUUAAUCAAGAACGAAAGUUAGGGGAUCGAAGACGAUCAGAUACCGUCGUAGUCUUAACCAUAAACUAUGCCGACUAGGGAUCGGAUGAUGUUAAUUUUUAAUGACUCAUUCGGCGCCUUAA
rnacentral:rRNA from 1 species